rnacentral:piRNA from 1 species
UGUGGAGUGCUUAUCCUUGACAGGUAU